rnacentral:rRNA from 1 species
UACGGAGGGUGCGAGCGUUGUCCGGAAUCACUGGGCGUAAAGGGCGCGUAGGCGGCUGGGGAAGUCGGCGGUGAAAGCCCGGAGCUCAACUCCGGGUCGGCCGUCGAGACUCCUCGGCUCGAGCUCACUAGAGGCAGAUGGAAUUCCGGGUGUAGCGGUGGAAUGCGUAGAGAUCCGGAAGAACACCGGUGGCGAAGGCGGUCUGCUGGGGUGAGGCUGACGCUGAGGCGCGAAAGCCAGGGGAGCGAACGGG